rnacentral:rRNA from 1 species
GGGAGGUAGUGACAAUAAAUAACAAUACGGGGUUCUUUCGGAUCUUGUAAUUGGAAUGAGUACAAUUUAAAUCUCUUAACGAGGAACAAUUGGAGGGCAAGUCUGGUGCCAGCAGCCGCGGUAAUUCCAGCUCCAAUAGCGUAUAUUAAAGUUGUUGCAGUUAAAAAGCUCGUAGUUGAAUUUCGAGAUCAAUUUAUUGGUCGUGCCAACGGUACGCACUGGUACAAUUGGUUUCUCCCUUCCGACGAAGUAUGAUGUCAUUAACUUGAUGUCGUAUGGAAUCAGGACUUUUACUUUGAAAAAUUAGAGUGUUUAAAGCAGGCUUUGGCUUGAAUACAUUAGCAUGGAAUAAUGAAAUAGGACGUUCGAUCUUAUUUCGUUGGUUUCUAAGAUCGACGUAAUGAUUAAUAGGGAUAGUUGGG